rnacentral:lncRNA from 8 species
CCAUGGAGCGAGAUCAGACAUGAGUGACAGCUGGACUGGACCCCACCCAUUACCAUCCCCACCACUCUCUGACGGUUGGUCACCUGGAAUUCUGCAGCCCAGAUCCUAACCUUAAUCCUGUGGCCUCACAAACUCACACAGAGAGAUCCGGAGAAGUGGGGGGGGGGGUUGGUGACAUGCCACCUGGCUGUCCGGACACUGCCAGACCCACUGUGAGUGUGUGUAUGUGUGUGUGCCAGGCCGACAGUCACCAGAUGGCGGUGCCAGCGUGGCACGGGCAUCAGGCGCAAGUGGCGGUUGGAGAAGUGAGAAAAAGAUGACAGGGCAAGGGGGGAGGUAGGUUGGGUGCCUGCGGUCGAUGCCAGUGUGUGUGUGUGUGUGUGUGUGUAUGUGUGCAGACAGACAGGGUGGAGACAGACAAACAUCAAGUGGGAAUGGGGGAAGGACGGUGUGGCUGUAGACUGUGUGUGUUUGUAAAGGACCUCUUUGUUUUGUGCCGUGUUGGUCUUUAUGAGGGAAGACAUGGAAAAAUAUAUUUCUGUCUGUGUUGCUAAAAGUGCAAUGUUGAGAAAAAAACGAUGUUUUAUAUUCUUGUUUUGAGGAUCUUUAUAGCAAUCAUUUCUAGCGGAUUUUCUCUCAAACAAUAGUAGUUGUUCACACUAGAGGUCGACCUAUUAUGAUUUUUCAACGCCGAUACCGAUACCGAUUAUUGGAGGGCCAAAAACCCGAUGCCGAUUAAUCGGCCGAUUUUUACAUUUUAUUUAUUUUUAUUUAUUUGUAAUAUUGACAAUUACAACAAUACUGAAUGAACACUUAUUUUAACUUAAUAUAAUACAUCAAUAAAAUC